UGGGCUUGUGUGUGUUGGUGUUGGUGUUGGCGUUGGUGUUUGUGAGUGUACUGAGCAACACGCACAUGUGUUGCUGCAUCAAGAACCCACCUUCUCAUCAUCAUCAUCAGCAUCACCAUCUCUCUCUCCUCUCUCUCUCUCUCUCUCUCUCAAACACAUACUCUCUAUAAUCUAUUACGUGCGUGAAAGUGUAGUAGUAGUGUGCAGUCCGAGGCAUGGAGGGGGGAAGGGGUUAAUUAGAUGGAUAGGAGUGGUGUGGGAGGUGGUGCAGUGAUGAGAAGAGAAGGGUACUUGAUGCGCAGGAGCAGGAGCGGAAGCAGAAGAAGCAGAAGGUGAGGGAGGGAGGGAGGGAGGGUUGGAGUAGAAUCUAACCGGGAGACGCUUGAAAACAAACAACAUAAGGGCACAACCCCAACUCCAAAACACCCUUUCUGACACAAGGAUUCCCACACUUGUUCCUUCCAACACUCUACACGAUAAAACUUUUUCCCGUUUUUAAUUACAUCUUCCCCUUUCCUUAUCCCCUCCAUUUUUUCCAUUUACCAUUUUCUGCAUCUAUGGAAACCAAUUAAUUUUUCUUUUUUUAUUUUUGCCACUUUGCAGCCUUUUCUAUCAUACCAACCCAACCCUCCUCAAUCUCUCUCUCUUUCUCGUUCAUUACAUUAUUUCCAUAAAUAAUAUUUGUUACUGUUCCAAGUGGGCAAAUGGUUGAUCUCCCCAUUUCAUUUGAAUAUUCAUCUUCUUCCCACACAUUGCUUUCUUUGUUUUUUUUUUUUUCUUUAUUUUUCCCAAUGCAAGGUAGUUCACAUCAUCAACACCAUAUAGAUAUUAACCUUUGUGUUGGUUUUAUGCACUCAAGAAGUAUGUAGAUGGACCAUUUGUCCCACCAUGACCCCAUCACAUUGUCUGGCUUAUUUCUAACUCUUCAAAUUUAAAUAUUUCAGGUAGCAGUAGUGGCAGUGGAUGGGGUUGAGUUUGGGUUCACCAGAGCAUCAGUCCAAAACGGGCGAUGAUUUCUGACCUUAGAAUCCGGACCACAAAAUCUUCUUCAAUUCAUGAAGACAUUAUACUGCAGCUAUUGCACUCUGGAAAAAUUUCUAACUUCAUGCUUUAUGGUUAUACCCUUUAACAAAUUUCAAUCAUUUCCAUCUUACCAUACGAAGUGACCACAAAUAUGUAUACACCCAGUAAUGAUCCAUGAUCCCUUUUUUCUCCUUUGUCAAGAUAUC
rnacentral:lncRNA from 1 species